rnacentral:rRNA from 1 species
GACGGAGGAUGCAAGUGUUAUCCGGAAUCACUGGGCGUAAAGCGUCUGUAGGUGGUUCGAAAAGUCCACUGUUAAAAAUUGAAGCUUAACUUCAAAGAUGCCGUGGAAACUUUCAAACUAGAGUGUGGUAGGGGUAGAGGGAAUUUCCAGUGGAGCGGUAGAAAUGCGUAGAUAUUGGAAAGACCACCGAUGGCGAAGGCACUCUACUGGGCCAUUACUGACACUGAGAGACGAAAGCUAGGGGAGCAAAUGGG